rnacentral:rRNA from 1 species
CAUUAUUGAAUAACGAUCGGUUACUGAUGCUGGCCCUUCCUGGGUAUGUGCUCGUGCCGUCUUAUUUAUCUUCUCUUGUGCACAUUUUGUAGUCAAUGUAUUAGAAACCAUGCGUGCUUUCAUUAGCGCGGUUUGGGGGACUUGGCUUUUCGUUAAGGCUUCCCCUGUUCCUCUGCGCACUCUUGACUGAGUUGCGGUCUGGGAGUUGUUAACCCUUCUCCUGAUGCGUUGACUAUGUUUUCAUAUACCCUGUAAAAGUCAUAGAAUGUUAAUCAAGUUGAUUGCGCUAGUCGUAGUCCUUAAACCUAUACAACUUUCAGCAACGGAUCUCUUGGCUCUCCUAUCGAUGAAGAACGCAGCGAAAUGCGAUAAGUAAUGUGAAUUGCAGAAUUCAGUGAAUCAUCGAAUCUUUGAACGCACCUUGCGCCCUUUGGUAUUCCGAAGGGCAUGCCUGUUUGAGUGUCAUUAAAUUAUCAACCUUUCUCUUGCUUUGCGGCUCGAGUUAGGCUUGGAUGUGAGGGCUUGCUGGCUUCCUUCAGUGGAUGGUCUGCUCCCUUUAAAAGCAUUAGCGGGAUCUCUUGUGGACCGUCACUUGGUGUGAUAAUUAUCUAUGCCGUUUGACUUUGAAGCAAGCUAAUGGGAACCUGCUCACAACCGUCCAUUGACUUGGACAAGUUUUAAUUGACAAUUUGACCUCAAAUCAG